AUUGAACGCUGGCGGCAGGCCUAACACAUGCAAGUCGAACGAGUAGCGGACGGGUGAGUAAUGUCUGGGAAACUGCCCAAUGUCGGGGGAUAACUACUGGAACACGUGGCUAAUACCGCAUACCGUCGUAUCUGCCCAGAUGGGAUUAGCUAGUAGGUGGGGUAACGGCUCACCUAGGCGACGAUCCCUAGCUGGUCUGAGAGGCUGACCGUCCACACUGGAACUGAGACACGGUCCAGACGCCUACGGGAGGCAGAAGUGGGGAAUAUUGCACAAUGGGCGCAAGCCUGAUGAAGCAAGGCCGCGUGGAUGAAGAAGGCCUUCGGGUUGUAAAGUACUGUAAGCGAGGAGGCGUUACUUGCAGAAGAAGCACCGGCUAACUCCGUGCCAGCCGCCGCGGUAAUAC
rnacentral:rRNA from 1 species